rnacentral:tRNA from 1 species
GCCCGCAUAGCUCCAACGGUAGAGCAGCGAUUUUGUAAGUCGAUGGUUGGGGGUUCGAAUCCCUCUGCGGGCA